rnacentral:rRNA from 1 species
CACGUAGGCGGAUCGGAAAGUUGGGGGUGAAAUCCCGGGGCUCAACCCCGGAACUGCCUUCAAAACUAUCGGUCUGGAGUUCGAGAGAGGUGAGUGGAAUUCCGAGUGUAGAGGUGAAAUUCGUAGAUAUUCGGAGGAACACCAGUGGCGAAGGCGGCUCACUGGCUCGAUACUGACGCUGAGGUGCGAAAGCGUGGGGAGCAAACA